rnacentral:lncRNA from 1 species
AAGUAUUGCGAGAUCUCGCAAUACUUUUUUGCGAGAUCUCGCAAAGUUCUGUCCUACUUCGGUGAACCGGAAGUAAAACAGACACACAUGAUGGAGGAGCGUACACAUCAUAGACAUAAUAAAAGGGUAGACCCCGCUGGGGGUGCUGCGCAGCGAGAAAUGCGGCCGCCAUCUUGGUCAGGUCAAGCUUCCCAUACGCUCCGGUCAAUCAUAUUCAUUCAUUCAUUCAUUCAGCGAUGCCGGAGCACUGUGCGGCGUAUUCCUGUGCCAACAGGCGGACAGCAGAGAACAGGGCUCAAGGAAUAACUUUUCACAGCUAUGAUUACACGUUUUUUCAACAUUACACUUGACUGUAGAGUCAUUUGUAGGCCAAAGAGGAAGACAGUGGUGCAGAGUGAGGCGGAUGACCGGACCAAGAUGGCGGCCGCAUUUCUCGACAGCGCCCAUUCGUGGUAGCGGCCGAUGCAGGGUCUAUCUUUUAUUAUGUCUAUGGUACACAUCAUCCGUGCUCUGUUGCUCCUUCUUCUUAUUAUUAUUAUUAUUUUAGGCUUAUUUUAGGCUAUUUUAGGCGUGUUUUACUUCCGGUUCACUGAAUGGAGAAAAAACUUUUGCGAGAUCUCGCAAAAAGUAUUGCGAGAUCCCGCAAUACGUUUUGCGAGAUCUCGCAAAAAGUAUUGCGAGAUCUCGCAAUACUUUUGCGAGAUCUCGCAAAAAAAAAAAGUCCAUCCAUGUCCCUUUAGGGGCUCCGUACUU